UAAAACACCGGUUCCAGUACAAUUACUGAAGUUAAGCAACAUCAAGCAUGGUCAGUAUCUAGAUGGGUGACCACUUGGGAAUGCCAGGUGCUGUAA